GUAAUUCCGGUGAAGAUGCCGGAUACCUGCGACAGGACGGAAAGACCCCAUGGAGCUUUACUGUAGCUUGACAUUGGGUCUUGGUACUACAUGUACAGGAUAGGUGGGAGGCUUUGAAACCAGGACGCCAGUUUGGCGGAGCCAUCCUUGGGAUACCACCCUUGUAGUACUGGGACUCUAACCAUAGGCCAUGAAUCUGGUCUUGGGACACUGUCAGGUGGGCAGUUUGACUGGGGCGGUCGCCUCCCAAAAGGUAACGGAGGCGCUCAAAGGUUCUCUCAGUACGGUCGGAAAUCGUACGUAGAGUGUAAAGGCAAAAGAGAGCUUGAUUGCAAGACAUACAGGUCGAGCAAGGAUGAAAAUCGGACUUAGUGAUCCGGUGGUUCUGCGUGGAAGGGCCAUCGCUCAACGGAUAAAAGCUACCCUGGGGAUAACAGGCUUAUCUCCCCCAAGAGUCCACAUCGACGGGGAGGUUUGGCACCUCGAUGUCGGCUCAUCACAUCCUGGGGCUGUAGUAGGUCCCAAGGGUUGGGCUGUUCGCCCAUUAAAGUGGUACGCGAGCUGGGUUCAGAACGUCGUGAGACAGUUCGGUCCCUAUCCGUCGCAGGCGUAGGAAAUUUGAGAAG
rnacentral:rRNA from 1 species